rnacentral:tRNA from 1 species
GCCGAAGUGGCGGAAUGGCAGACGCGCAUGGUUCAGGACCAUGUGUCCGCAAGGACGUGUGGGUUCAACUCCCACCUUCGGCACCA